rnacentral:rRNA from 1 species
UACGGGGGGGGCAAGCGUUGUUCGGAAUUACUGGGCGUAAAGGGCUCGUAGGCGGCCAACUAAGUCGGAUGUGAAAUCCCCAGGCUCAACCUGGGAACUGCAUCCGAUACUGGAUGGCUUGAAUUCGGGAGAGGGAUGCAGAAUUCCAGGUGUAGCGGUGAAAUGCGUAGAUAUCUGGAGGAAUACCGGUGGCGAAGGCGGCAUCCUGGACCGGCAUUGACGCUGAGGAGCGAAAGCCAGGGGAGCAAAGCGGG